rnacentral:rRNA from 1 species
CAAAGGUAGCAUAAUCAUUAGUUUUUUAAUUGAAAACUUGUAUGAAAGGCUGGACAAAAGAAAAGCUGUCUUUAGAGUAUAAAUUGAAAUUUACUUUUAAGUGAAAAGGCUUAAAUGUUUCAAAGGGACGAUAAGACCCUAUAAAGCUUUAUAUAUUAUUUGAAUUUGAUUAAUUUAAUGAUAAAAAUUAAAUUUAAUUAUUUUAUUUCGUUGGGGCGAUGUGAGUAGAACUGUUUGUAACUGCUUAAGAGAAAUACAAUUGUAAGUGAUUUACAUAUAUGAUCCUUUAUUAAAGAUUAAAAGACUAAGUUACUUUAGGGAUAACAGCGUUAUUUUUUUUGAGAGUUCAUAUCGAAAAAAAAGUUUGCGACCUCGAUGUUGAAUUAAAAUUUCUAUAUAAUGCAGCAGUUAUAAGAGAAGGUCUGUUCGACCUUUAAAUUUUUACAUGAUUUGAGUUCA